GCAAAGAAAAAAGGUUGAGUUACAAGUGUCGCAACCGACUGCCCGUAGAAAGCGGGAGGAAGGUGGGGAUGACGUCAAGUCAGCAUGGCCUUUAUAUCUNGGGCUACACACACGCUACAAUGGCCAGCCCAAUGGGUCGCCAACCCGCGAGGGGGAGCCAAUCCAACAAAGUUGGCCUCAGUUCGGAUUGUAGGCUGCAACCCGCCUGCAUGAAGUCGGAGUUGCUAGUAAACGCGCAUCAGCUAUGGCGCGUUGAAUACGUUCCCGGGCCUUGUACACACCGCCCGUCACGUCAUGGGAGCUGGUCACGCCUGAAGUCGGUGGGCUAACCGCAAGGAGGCAACCGCCUAAGGCAGGGCCGGUGACUGGGACGAAGUCGCUAACAAGGUAACCA
rnacentral:rRNA from 1 species